CCUACGGGAGGCAGCAGUGGGGAAUUUUGGACAAUGGGCGCAAGCCUGAUCCAGCAAUGCCGCGUGAGUGAAGAAGGCCUUCGGGUUGUAAAGCUCUUUUGUCAGGGAAGAAACGGUCUCAGCUAAUAUCUGGGGCUAAUGACGGUACCUGAAGAAUAAGCACCGGCUAACUACGUGCCAGCAGCCGCGGUAAUACGUAGGGUGCAAGCGUUAAUCGGAAUUACUGGGCGUAAAGCGUGCGCAGGCGGUUUUGUAAGUCUGUCGUGAAAGCCCCGGGCUCAACCUGGGAAUUGCGAUGGAGACUGCAAGGCUUGAAUCUGGCAGAGGGGGGUAGAAUUCCACGUGUAGCAGUGAAAUGCGUAGAGAUGUGGAGGAACACCGAUGGCGAAGGCAGCCCCCUGGGUCAAGAUUGACGCUCAUGCACGAAAGCGUGGGGAGCAAACAGGAUUAGAUACCCUGGUAGUCCACGCCCUAAACGAUGUCUACUAGUUGUCGGGUUUUAAUUAACUUGGUAACGCAGCUAACGCGUGAAGUAGACCGCCUGGGGAGUACGGUCGCAAGAUUAAAACUCAAAUUGAAUUGAGGCUGAGAGNGCGAGAGACGACGAGGAGGAGG
rnacentral:rRNA from 1 species